rnacentral:misc_RNA from 1 species
GGCCUGUUGCCGCUGGCAUGGCCGGCCCUUGAGGCGCGCGAGCUUUGUGCGCGGCUUUAUCAAGCUCUUCUGCCGCCAUCUGAAUCCUGGCUGGACGAGCACGGCGAGAGCGUGACGGGUUCCUUGCGUCCGCCGGGGCCGGAACUUGGCCGCCGGUUCUCGGAUGUGCAGGGCAAUAUGUUACAGAAAUAGCUUGCGUCUUAUAUUUUAUGUUAUA